GGGCCUAUAGCUCAGCUGGUUAGAGCGCACGCCUGAUAAGCGUGAGGUCGAUGGUUCGAGUCCAUUUAGACCCA
rnacentral:tRNA from 2 species